UCUCCGUAGGUGAACCUGCGGAGGGCUCAUUACUGAGUGAGGGCUCCGGCCCGACCUCCAACCCCAUGUGAACCGAAACCUGUUGCUUCGGGGGCGACCCUGCCUUCGUGCGAGGCGCCCCCGGAGGCUCAUCAAACACUGCAUCUUUGCGUCGGAGUCUUAAUGAAUUUAAGCAGAACUUUUAACAACGGAUCUCUUGGUUCUGGCAUCGAGGAAGAACGCAGC
rnacentral:misc_RNA from 1 species